rnacentral:sRNA from 1 species
GCACCUUGGGUUCGGCGAGAAGGGACGCGCAGGAGCGCUGAACCCAGAACACGCGUGGCCGCUGCGGAAGGGCGUCCGCCCGGCGUGCGGAACGCUGAGGGGACUCUCAUCCUCUGUCUCGCCCCCUUUUUUUGACCCGGGGAUCCAGCCGCAUUAUACACGAGUGACCUUUUAAAUCUACGUCCACCCUUUACCUGCGAGAGGACUGCAGCAGGCGAGUUCCGGAAGGCUGAAUCCCCAGGUCCCAGCCCCGGACCGCGGCAACUCGCCCCUGCGGCACGCCCGGCCCGGCUGCGCCCCCACUCAGCGAUGGAGAAACAGCCCAGAUCUCCUCUUAAGCGGAAAAGAGAUUGACCUUCUAGCAGAGGCAAAGAAUGGAGUCUUCUGGGGGCAGCUGCAAAGCGUUCUCCCUAGGACAGAUGGAGCCUCCCUUUCCUCAUCUACUCUGUGGGUGGUUUCAGGGCCCACGAGUCAACAUGAGGAGUUGUGCUGGUGGUAUGUGUGUUGGAGGCUGGGCUGGCUGAUUCACAGUGACGAGGAUGUCAAUAAUAACAAGAAUGAGAAUGAUGAUACCUAAUAAAGACUUUUUUUCCCAA